GGCGCAGCCUACCAUGCUAGUCGAGCGGUAGCACAGAGAGCUUGCUCUCGGGUGACGAGCGGCGGACGGGUGAGUAAUGUCUGGGAAACUGCCUGAUGGAGGGGGAUAACUACUGGAAACGGUAGCUAAUACCGCAUAACGUCGCAAGACCAAAGUGGGGGACCUUCGGGCCUCAUGCCAUCAGAUGUGCCCAGAUGGGAUUAGCUAGUAGGUGGGGUAACGGCUCACCUAGGCGACGAUCCCUAGCUGGUCUGAGAGGAUGACCAGCCACACUGGAACUGAGACACGGUCCAGACUCCUACGGGAGGCAGCAGUGGGGAAUAUUGCACAAUGGGCGCAAGCCUGAUGCAGCCAUGCCGCGUGUGUGAAGAAGGCCUUCGGGUUGUAAAGCACUUUCAGCGGGGAGGAAGGCGUUAAGGUUAAUAACCUUGUCGAUUGACGUUACCCGCAGAAGAAGCACCGGCUAACUCCGUGCCAGCAGCCGCGGUAAUACGGAGGGUGCAAGCGUUAAUCGGAAUUACUGGGCGUAAAGCGCACGCAGGCGGUCUGUCAAGUCGGAUGUGAAAUCCCCGGGCUCAACCUGGGAACUGCAUUCGAAACUGGCAGGCUAGAGUCUUGUAGAGGGGGGUAGAAUUCCAGGUGUAGCGGUGAAAUGCGUAGAGAUCUGGAGGAAUAUCCGGUGGCGAAGGCGGCCCCCUGGACAAAGACUGACGCUCAGGUGCGAAAGCGUGGGGAGCAAACAGGAUUAGAUACCCUGGUAGUCCACGCCGUAAACGAUGUCGAUUUUGGAGGUUGUGCCCUUGAGGCGUGGCUUCCGGAGCUAACGCGUUAAAUCGACCGCCUGGGGGAGUACGGCCGCAAGGUUAAAACUCAAAUGAAUUGACGGGGGCCCGCACAAGCGGUGGAGCAUGGGGGUUUAAUUCGAUGCAACGCGAAGAACCUUACCUGGUCUUGACAUCCACAGAACUUUCCAGAAAAUGGAUUGGUGCCUUCGGGAACUGUGAGACAGGUGCUGCAUGGCUGUCGUCAGCUCCUGGUUGUGAAAUGUUGGGUUAAGUCCCGCAACGAGCGCAACCCUUAUCCUUUGUUGCCAGCGGUCAGGCCGGGAACUCAAAGGAAACUGCCACUGAUAAACUGAAGGA
rnacentral:rRNA from 1 species